UGAAAGAAUUAGUUAAAAAAUAACAUAAAUAUGUCAAAUUUAAAUUAUUAUUAUAAAUAAUAUUCUUUUAU
rnacentral:tRNA from 1 species